rnacentral:rRNA from 1 species
GCAGCAGGCGCGCAAAUUACCCAAUCCCGAUACGGGGAGGUAGUGACAAUAAAUAACAAUACAGGGCUUUUCAGUCUUGUAAUUGGAAUGAGUACAAUUUAAAUCUCUUAACGAGGAACAAUUGGAGGGCAAGUCUGGUGCCAGCAGCCGCGGUAAUUCCAGCUCCAAUAGCGUAUAUUAAAGUUGUUGCAGUUAAAAAGCUCGUAGUUGAAUUUUAGGCCCGGUUGGACGGUCUGCCUUUGGGUUUGUACUGUCCUGACUGGGCCUUACCUUCUGGUGAGCUGUCGUGUUGUUUACUCAGCGCGGCAGGGAACCAGGACUUUUACUUUGAAAAAAUUAGAGUGUUUAAAGCAGGCAUUCGCUUGAAUACAUUAGCAUGGAAUAAUAGAAUAGGACAUCGGUUCUAUUUUGUUGGUUUCUAGGACCGCUGUAAUGAUUAAUAGGGAUAGUCGGGGGCGUCAGUAUUCAAUUGUCAGAGGUGAAAUUCUUGGAUUUAUUGAAGACUAACUACUGCGAAAGCAUUCGCCAAGGAUGUUUUCAUUAAUCAGUGAACGAAAGUUAGGGGAUCGAAGACGAUCAGAUACCGUCGUAGUCUUAACCAUAAACUAUGCCGACUAGGGAUCGGACGGUGGUUUUUUUAUGCCCCGUUCGGCACCUUACGAG